rnacentral:lncRNA from 10 species
UUAGUGAGUUGGUCUUAACAUGUUUGAGAAUGAAGGGUAGCCAUUCUACCAUUAAACAGCCACUAAAGAGAGCCCUUUCCUAAAAACAUUAUCUCCUGGAAGAACAUUGAGCUCUUUUCAUCCUUCUGAAACGAUGCAAAUUGCAAAUGGGAUCAAGAUCAAGAUCAUAAACAACAAGGAAAACCAAGGAAUCAUCACAGGCUGGGGGAGACUAAGUAGACAACACAACUCAAUGCAAUGUGGAAUCCUAGAACAGAGAAAGGACGCUGGCAGAAGAAUGAGUCAAUCCAAUAAGCAGGGCCAAGACUGAUAACGAAUGGCCCGUGGGAAGCGCACGAAGUCCAACGUGAAUCAACGAUAGCACUAAUGAAAUUGCUUCAAGUUCUAGAGCAGAAGAUGGUAAGCUCCUGAGGCCACAUCCCACGAGUGUCAAAAGGGACGAAAUGUCUGACCACUUACUGAGCACCUAAUAUGUA